UUUAAUUCGAUGCAACGCGAAAAACCUUACCCACCUUUGACAUGUACGGAACCCUUUAGAGAUAGAGGGGUGCUCGAAAGAGAGCCGUAACACAGGUGCUGCAUGGCUGUCGUCAGCUCGUGUCGUGAGAUGUUGGGUUAAGUCCCGCAACGAGCGCAACCCUUGUCAUUAGUUGCUACAUUCAGUUGGGCACUCUAAUGAGACUGCCGGUGACAAGCCGGAGGAAGGUGGGGAUGACGUCAAGUCCUCAUGGCCCUUAUAGGUGGGGCUACACACGUCAUACAAUGGCUGGUACAAAGGGUUGCCAACCCGCGAGGGGGAGCUAAUCCCACAAAGCCAGUCGUAGUCCGGAUCGUAGUCUGCAACUCGACUACGUGAAGUCGGAAUCGCUAGUAAUCGUGGA
rnacentral:rRNA from 1 species